GCGGAUAUGGCGGAAUUGGCAGACGCGCCAGAUUUAGGUUCUGGUCCGUGAGGGUGCAGGUUCGAUUCCUGUUAUCCGC
rnacentral:tRNA from 1 species